UACAGAGGGUGCGAGCGUUAAUCGGAAUUACUGGGCGUAAAGGGUGCGUAGGUGGCGAGGCAAGUCGGAUGUGAAAUCCCGGGGCUCAACCCCGGAACUGCAUUCGAUACUGCCUUGCUAGAGUACUGGAGAGGAGAUUGGAAUUUACGGUGUAGCAGUGAAAUGCGUAGAUAUCGUAAGGAAGACCAGUGGCGAAGGCGGAUCUCUGGACAGUUCCUGACGCUGAGGCACGAAGGUCAGGGGAGCAAACGGG
rnacentral:rRNA from 1 species